AAAAUGAUUGGAAAUCCCACACCACAAACGCAAAGUGCUUUUUCCUGCGCAGCCAUCAUCAUUCGCCGGAGGAGGUAAAACCGCUGGUAGCUCGUGCCUAGUGCGGGCUAGCCUGGCGGUUAGAAGCGGCAACACAAGCAGUGUACGAACAUCUGGUGGGGAAUCGCUGCAGGGUUUUGCCCCAAGGGAAUGAUGGAAAACGAUAAGAUAAUUGGGGAGACACACUCAUAUUAGGAGGGUUGAAGUUCCGUGGCUUCCAUGGGGUGAAAGCAGAAAGGACAUUGGGUCAGAAGUUCUUGAUAGAUAAGUAGAUGCCUGGAUGGAUC
rnacentral:misc_RNA from 1 species